GCCUUUUUAGCUCAGUAGGUAGAGCGCAUCCAUGGUAAGGAUGAGGUCGCCGGUUCGAUCCCGGCAAAAGGCUCCA
rnacentral:tRNA from 1 species